rnacentral:tRNA from 1 species
GGAGUUGUGGCUCAGUGGUAGAGUGCUCGCCUAGCAUGCGGGAGCACUGGGUUCGAUCCUCAGCACCA